CACCAUUAUUUUUGUAACUUAACAUUUCGUUUAUUGUUUACAAUAAACAUUAUGUUUGUUGUUUACUUUGUUAGUCUUGUCAAGUAUCAGCUGUCAAAUUCGACACACAGGAUAUAGUUUCAGUUGUUGUCUGUGGUCUUUUGAGAAAACUCGUGCUAGAUCGUCAUCGGACAGUGGUCAGUGGCGAUAUGACGCUCAGAACAAUGAUGGUGUUGACUGGCCACAGAGUAGUUUUGUGAGCUGGACCCGACGAUGAGCUGGCAUCCCGGUGAAGGUUUUUCUUUUUCGGAACUGGCAAGGAGGCGAGCCAUUCUCUGUCAGAACGUCUCGAGUAGAACGUGUGUGGUUAGAUUUUUCUUCCCGGUCCGCGUGGCACAGGCCGUAUUGGUACCAAGUUCCUUGCUUCAUAUUUCCUGGUGAGUAUUUCGAUCGUGGGUUCAGGUUAUCUGAUUGGUCUACGAGAUAGAUUCUGACUAAGUUGUUUCUUUGCAGUUACCAGAUACGUGCCACAGACACCCACGCAGCAUCACACCACGUGUACCUAACCAGAAUUGCCGACAAUUUCAAUCCUGCCCGGUGAAGCGUGCGAUUGCCAGACGCGUGUCACCUGACCCCAACCUCCAAGAAGGUGUCGUUGGUGACCAGAGCCGUCAGCGAGCCACGAGCCGUCCGGAGCUCCUGUCCUGGCCCCGUCCGACAGUCCAGGUUGGCCGUUGUAUGUUCGUUGAGCGGAUACUGAGGAAUUUCCUUAGGAUUUCCAUUAAUCUUCAGCGGCAUCAGCCUUCUAACGCCGCUGCUGAAUGUAGGACUGCAGAGGCAGAACCCGGGUGGACUCUAGCGGGUUAAAACCUUUAUUUUAUUUUUUUUUUACUUCGUAGGGAGCCCCGUUAGAACGGGCAGUAGUAUCUAAAUUGCACUUUGAACCUUUUGUAGGCGCUAGGCUAUCAACGUCCUUCGGUUACGGGACCUUAACGUUAAACUGCUAUCCCAUUGAAGUAAUAUAGAAGUUUCUCUGGGGUUAAUACCAUCUUUCUAUCCCUGUGGCGUGAAACACAGGGGUAGAACCUUUGGUUUCCCCACUUUAAUGUAAUUUCCUUGCAAUACCUUGUAUACUUCAACCAGACAAUUAUAAGGACUUAAUCCCUGGUCUCAUUUUAGACCUAUUUGAGUUAUAAAAUAUUGUGUGAGGCAGGGUUUUGAUAAAUAAAUAUUAAUAACUGUACCACA